AUUGAACGCUGGCGGCAUGAUUUACACAUGCAAGUCGAACGGUAACAGGCCGCAAGGUGCUGACGAGUGGCGAACGGGUGAGUAAUGCAUCGGAACGUGCCCAGUCGUGGGGGAUAACUACUCGAAAGAGUAGCUAAUACCGCAUACGAUCUAUGGAUGAAAGCGGGGGACCGUAAGGCCUCGCGCGAUUGGAGCGGCCGCUGUCAGAUUAGGUAGUUGGUGGGGUAAAGGCUCACCAAGCCAACGAUCUGUAGCUGGUCUGAGAGGACGACCAGCCACACUGGGACUGAGACACGGCCCAGACUCCUACGGGAGGCAGCAGUGGGGAAUUUUGGACAAUGGGCGCAAGCCUGAUCCAGCAAUGCCGCGUGCAGGAAGAAGGCCUUCGGGUUGUAAACUGCUUUUGUACGGAACGAAACGGCUCUGGUUAAUACCCGGGGCUAAUGACGGUACCGUAAGAAUAAGCACCGGCUAACUACGUG
rnacentral:rRNA from 1 species